rfam:Eggerthella sp. CAG:1427 genomic scaffold, scf13
UAAUACAUGCAGGGGUGCCUUGGAUUUGCGAAAGGCUGAGAGGGCAAAAGCCCAACCCUUUGAACCUGACAGUUAGUACUGGCGUAGGGAGCAGAUUCUUAGGUUUU